UAAUGAAACCUAUUUUUGUGACUUUGAGCAUUGAGUGCUACUUUGGGAACAAAAACUUGGUUUGGUGCUAUCCUAGUCUUUUUCUUUUAUUAUUAUGCAUUAAUAUAUAUUCAGUUAUCGUUUAUAAAAUGUAAAAUAAAAAUUAUAUUUUAUUUUUAUAUAUUUUAUAAUAACAAUAAAUCAUGUUAAAAUAAACUCUUAUAUUGAACUAAAUAUGAUAAAUCUUAUAUAUUAAAACAGAAGUCAUAACAUUGUUCAUGUGUGAUUUUUU
rnacentral:lncRNA from 1 species